GAGGGCGGAUGGAGGGGGA
rnacentral:miRNA from 1 species